rnacentral:snRNA from 2 species
GUGCUCGCUUCAGCAGCACACAUACUAAAAUUGGAACGAUACAGAGAAGAUUAGCAUGGCCCCUGCACAAGGAUGACAUGCAAAUUCGUGAAGAGUUCCAUAUUUUU